UAAAGAAAGGUGUGAAAAGCAAAUUUAUUAACAAAUUUAACACUGCUUGCAUCUAGAAGAUAGGAUUUGAAAUUGUGUUGCUUUCUCAAGCUGAUUACAUCAAAGUAUAUUAGAAAACAAAAACAAAAUAAGGGGCCAGGUGCAGUGGCUGAACAAGGGGCCUGUAAUCCCAGCACUUUGGGAGGCCAAGGGGGACUGUGGAUCCCUGGAGCCCAGGAAUUCGACACCAGCCUGGAUAAUAUGUUGAAACCCUGUCUCUACAAAAAAUACAAAACUUAGCCUUGUGUGGGGGUGUACACUUGUAGUGCCAGCUACUUUGGAGGCUGAGAGCUGGGAGGAUCACUUGAGCCUGGGAAGUCGAGGC
rnacentral:lncRNA from 10 species